rfam:Lupinus angustifolius cultivar Tanjil contig_13371, whole genome shotgun sequence.
AAAUAGGUUUUUCUAAAAGCCAUUAAUUUGACCUAAUGACAUGUUU